rnacentral:rRNA from 1 species
ACGGAAGGCAGCAGUGGGGAAUAUUGGACAAUGGGGGAAACCCUGAUCCAGCGACGCCGCGUGAGUGAAGAAGUAUUUCGGUAUGUAAAGCUCUAUCAGCAAGGAGGAAAAUGACGGUACUUGACUAAGAAGCUCCGGCUAAAUACGUGCCAGCAGCCGCGGUAAUACGUAUGGAGCAAGCGUUAUCCGGAUUUACUGGGUGUAAAGGGAGCGUAGACGGCAAAGCAAGUCUGAAGUGAAAUCCCGGGGCUCAACCCCGGAACUGCUUUGGAAACUGUUUAGCUAGAGUGCAGGAGAGGUAAGCGGAAUUCCUAGUGUAGCGGUGAAAUGCGUAGAUAUUAGGAGGAACACCAGUGGCGAAGGCGGCUUUCUGGACUGUAACUGACGUUGAGGCACGAAAGUGUGGGGAGCAAACAGGAUUAGAUACCCUGGUA